rnacentral:rRNA from 1 species
GGGUGGUUCGCCGCCACGACGUCGCGAGAAGUUCACUGAACCUUAUCAUUUAGAGGAAGGAGAAGUCGUAACAAGGUUUCCGUAGGUGAACCUGCGGAAGGAUCAUUG